UAAAGGACAGGCAUGGAAAGAGACUGGAAGCAUCGCAGACAGAUGGAGAGCAGUUCAGAAAUUUACAUAUGAUACAGAGUUCCAGAGAGAUCCAGAUUAGACCGGUUGCCAAUCCAAUUAAAAAAUUUUUUUUCCCCUCUCUCUUGAAAGGCUGGAGAGCACACACACAAACUUGUUUAUCCUAACAAGCUUGAAUCAUGCCUAGUUAGCUGCUGCUCUGUGGCAUGAUUUUGAAGUAGGAGGUGGUGAGGCUGCCUGUUGGAUUACUAAAGUUCCCAGGAGACAAAUGUAAACACAGCAUAGAGAAGAGGACCAAGACUGUGCUUUGAAGACCUCAGCAAGCAGACACCAUUGAUAAGGAACUGUUAACAGUAAUGAAUGAGAGGUCUGGCAUGGCUGUGGUGAGAAGCCUUCUGUUACUGGCCUGGCAUGGGAAAGGCAGAAAGAGUCAAGGAUCUGAAGGUGUGGAAAAAGGAAGACUUCUGUGGUCCAGAGUUCCAAGACCUUCUGAUGAAGCGUGUGUCAGAAUUCGAUAAGGAAAAGGUCAUGAAGAGGUUAAACAUUCGUCUAAUGUGGAACAAUAAAAAGGCUGUAAAUAAGUCUUCCACUCACACUGUAUCCCAGAUCCAUCCCAUGGGGAACAUGUCGUGAUUGAUUGAUGCUGAGCAUUGAGAAGGAUCCCUAUGUAAGUUGACCACUCUGGACCUCAGGCAGGACUCGGAAUAUAGAGCAAGAGAGAGAAAGAAAGAAGAUGAAGUUGGGGAGGAUCUGAGAAGAGUUGGAGGGGGAAACAUAAUCAAAAUAUGGUCCUGGCCUCUUCUUACUGGAGAAUUGAAGCAAAGAUCCCCACACUUCUCAGCGGGCCUUUGCGUGAACAACAACAACAACAGCAACAACAACAAGAAGAAAAUGUAGAGAAAAAUAGACUCCAGAAUGGAGCUUGGAAGGAUUUCUCUCUCCUGAUCUCAGCUCCAGCAUGGCCCCUCAACUAAAAGAAGCAGUUUUUUGACCUUUGAAGACUCUGAGUGACUUGACAGCCACACCUCCAAAGCCCGUUGCCCUUGGCAACCAUUGAAGUAGAAGAACAUCCUCUUUAGACAGCAGCAGGACUCUUCUGUCAGCUUUCCAGAACCAUGUCUCCACUGAGGGAACCCUGGCUCCAGGAGCAACAGAGGGAAGAACUCUUUUUCUGUUCAUUGGGAAUGCCAGUGACUGCCUGGGAAGAGGAGGACACUUGCUCCCAAUGGUGAUGGACAGAUCACACAAUCCUUCAAUGAGGGAAGUCAGAGAAGAACCUGAAGCAGAAACCAUGGAGAAGGCUGCUUACUGCUCACUCUGGAUUGUGACCAGUGUACCAGCUGUCACCAGAACUGGCCAGAUGAAGGCAGAAAGGAAGAGACAGUGCUACAUUGACUUCAGACUCUGCUCAGUUGCUUUCAGUCUCAGUUAAUUUGCUGGCCAACCUAACUCCCCCUCCCCCAGCGUGUUUCUCGUUUCUUUCUUUGCUUCUUUGCUUCUUUGCUUCUUUCUCUCUCUCUCUCUCUCUCUCUCUCUCUCUCUCUC
rnacentral:lncRNA from 1 species